CUACGGGGUGCUCCAGUGAGGAAUAUUGGUCAAUGGGCGAGAGCCUGAACCAGCCAAGUCGCGUGCAGGAAGACUGCCCUAUGGGUUGUAAACUGCUUUUGUAUGAGAGUAAAAUACAAUACGUGUAUUGUUUUGCAAGUAUCAUACGAAUAAGGAUCGGCUAACUCCGGGCCAGCAGCCGCGGUAAUACGGAGGAUCCGAGCGUUAUCCGGAUUUAUUGGGUUUAAAGGGUGCGUAGGCGGGAUAUUAAGUCAGUGGUGAAAGUUUGCAGCUCAACUGUAAAAUUGCCAUUGAUACUGAUGUUCUUGAGUACAAAUGAGGUAGGCGGAAUGUGUUGUGUAGCGGUGAAAUGCAUAGAUAUAACACAGAACACCGAUUGCGAAGGCAGCUUACUGGGAUGUAACUGACGCUGAGGCACGAAAGCGUGGGGAUCAAACAGGAUUAGAUACCCUAGUAGUC
rnacentral:rRNA from 1 species